rnacentral:lncRNA from 10 species
UUUUCUCUUCCUCAGAGAGGCAGCGGGAUCCAUUACUUCCAGUUCACCGCUUUCCCAGCACCAUUUCAAAUGCGCUUUGGUUUUGAAUUGUUGUCGACUGAACACAAAAGUGAGGGUGAGAUUUAUUGCCCUGCCCACCAGGUGAUACUGUCAAUAUGUAGCUGUUUAUCCCUGAAACAGGGGUCCUGGUAAGGAAUGGAAAGGAUGAGACAGAGCAUUUUAUUAUUUUAUUGGCAGAAAGGGAAAAGUUACAGUCAGCCCAGAAGGUGCAUCUUUUGCUAUUUCUAUCAGUUUUCUCUAAUGCUUAUGAUGAUGGGAAUGCAUAGUUCACUGAGUGGAUGGAAAUUCAGGCUCCAACUAUGGCCAAAACCAAUGAGCAGUAACGUGGAAGUAGUCAAGAAUAUACAAAACACAAUGAAGAGACAGAAACACUUUAAAGCAACCAGUUAUU